rnacentral:rRNA from 1 species
GAAUUCCCCCUUAGAGUUUGAUCCUGGCUCAGGAUAAUUGCUGGCGGCGUGCUUAACACAUUCAAGUCGAACGAGCGAGAGCCCUUCGGGACUCGAGCGAGUGGCGGACGGGUGAGUAAUGCAUGAGCAACCUGCCUUUAAGAGGGGAAUACCACCGAGAAAUUGGUGCUAAUACCGCAUAAGUCGUUUGGACGGCAUCGUCCGAACGGUAAAGGAGCAAUUCGCUUAAAGAUGGGCUCAUGUCUGAUUAGAUAGUUGGUGAGGUAACGGCUCACCAAGUCUGCGAUCAGUAGCCGGACUGAGAGGUUGAACGGCCACAUUGGAACUGAGAUACGGUCCAGACUCCUACGGGAGGCAGCAGUGGGGAAUAUUGGGCAAUGGGCGAAAGCCUGACCCAGCGACGCCGCGUGAGGGAAGACGGUCUUCGGAUUGUAAACCUUAAUAAACAGGGACGAAGAAAUGACGGUACCUGAAUAAAGCCACGGCUAACUACGUGCCAGCAGCCGCGGUAAUACGUAGGUGGCGAGCGUUAUCCGGAUUUACUGGGUGUAAAGGGUGCGUAGGCGGAGAAGCAAGUCAGAUGUGAAAUGCAUGGGCUUAACCCAUGAACUGCAUUUGAAACUGUUUUUCUUGAGAGUCGGAGGGGUAAUCGGAAUUCCCAGUGUAGCGGUGAAAUGCGUAGAGAUUGGGAGGAACACCAGUGGCGAAGGCGGAUUACUGGACGACAACUGACGCUGAAGCACGAAAGCGUGGGGAGCAAACAGGAUUAGAUACCCUGGUAGUCCCGACCUUAAACGGUGCACACUCGCGGUGGGGCCAUUUCACCGGCCCCGUCGCUUAGCUAACGCGUUAAGCGUGCCGCCUGGGGAGUACGGCCGCAAGGCUAAAACUCAAAGAAAUUGACGGGGGCCCGCACAAGCAGAGGAGCAUGUGGCUUAAUUCGAUGCAACGCGAAGAACCUUACCUGGGUUUGACAUACGGAUGCACGGCCCGUGAAAGCGGGCCUCCUUCGAGGGUUCCGUACAGGUGCUGCAUGGCUGUCGUCAGUUCGUGCCGUGAGGCGUUUGGUUAAGUCCACCAACGAACGCAACCCCUAUGAGCCGUUGCCAGCGGGUAAAGCCGGGAACUCAGCUCACACUGCUCGUUUACGCGAGAGGAAGGUGGGGAUGACGUCAAGUCAGUAUGGCCCUUACACCCAGGGCUGCACACGUGCUACAAUGGCCGGUACAGAGGGAAGCGAGACCGCAAGGUGGAGCCAAUCCCAGAGGGCCGGCCUCAGUUCAGAUCGGGGUCUGCAACCCGACCCCGUGAAGUCGGAUUUGCUAGUAACGGCGUAUCAGCUACGACGCCGUGAAUGCGUUCCCGGGCCUUGCACUCACCGCCCGUCA